AUGAACGCUAGCUACAGGCUUAACACAUGCCCUUCGAGGGGCAGCAUGGCCUAUCUUUCGGGAUGGGCCGAUGGCGACCGGCGCACGGGUGAGUAACGCGUAUCCAACCUUCCCUUUACUGGGGUCCAGCCCGUCGAAAGGCGGAUUAAUCCCCCAUGUUCUCCGUCCCGGACAUCUGUGUCGGAGCAAAGAUUUAUCGGUAAAGGAUGGGGAUGCGUCCGAUUAGCUUGUUGGCGGGGUAACGGCCCACCAAGGCAUCGAUCGGUAGGGGUUCUGAGAGGAAGGUCCCCCACACUGGAACUGAGACACGGUCCAGACUCCUACGGGAGGCAGCAGUGAGGAAUAUUGGUCAAUGGCCGUAAGGCUGAACCAGCCAAGUAGCGUGAGGGAAGACUGCCCUAUGGGUUGUAAACCUCUUUUAUGCGGGGAUAAAGGUGUCCACGUGUGGAUGUUUGCAGGUACCGCAUGAAUAAGGACCGGCUAAUUCCGUGCCAGCAGCCGCGGUAAUACGGAAGGUCCGGGCGUUAUCCGGAUUUAUUGGGUUUAAAGGGAGCGUAGGCCGGUCUUUAAGCGUGCCGUGAAAUUUUGGGGCUCAACCAUGAGGAGUGCGGCGCGAACUUGGAGACCUUGAGUGCGCGAAGGGCCAGGCGGAAUUCGUGGUGUAGCGGUGAAAUGUUUAGAUAUCAGGAAGAACCCCGAUUGCGAAGGCAGCCUGCCGCAGCGUUACUGACGCUGAAGCUCGAAAGCGCGGGUAUCGAACAGGAUUAGAUACCCUGGUAGUCCGCGCGGUAAACGAUGGAUGCCCGCUGUCGGCGAUAUACAGUCGGCGGCCAAGCGAAAGCGUUAAGCAUCCCACCUGGGGAGUACGCCGGCAACGGUGAAACUCAAAGGAAUUGACGGGGGCCCGCACAAGCGGAGGAACAUGUGGUUUAAUUCGAUGAUACGCGAGGAACCUUACCCGGGCUUGAAUUGCAGAGGAAAGAUCCAGAGAUGGUGAUGCCCUUCGGGGCCUCUGUGAAGGUGCUGCAUGGUUGUCGUCAGCUCGUGCCGUGAGGUGUCGGCUUAAGUGCCAUAACGAGCGCAACCCCUUUCCCUAGUUGCCAUCGGUUCUAGCCGGGCACUCUGGGGACACUGCCUCCGCAAGGAGUGAGGAAGGUGGGGAUGACGUCAAAUCAGCACGGCCCUUACGUCCGGGGCUACACACGUGUUACAAUGGGUGAUACAGAGGGCCGGCCGCUGGCAACAUCGGUCCAAUCCUUAAAGUCAUCCUCAGUUCGGACUGGGGUCUGCAACCCGACCCCACGAAGCUGG
rnacentral:rRNA from 1 species